AUCGAACGCCGGCGGCAGGCCCAACACAUGCAAGUCGAACGAGUGGCGGACGGGUGAGUAAUGUGGGGGAAACUGCCUGAUGGUGGGCGCAAACUAGCGGAAACGGCAUCUAAUACUGCAUACCAGCGGAUUUGCCCCGAUGGAAUUAGCCAGUAGGUGGGUAAAGGCUCACCUAGGCGACGCACCCUAGCUGGUCUGAGAGGAUGACCAGCCACACUGGAACUGAGACACGGUCCAGACUCCUACGGGAGGCAGCAGUGGGGAAUAUUGCACAAUGGGCGCAAGCCUGAUACAGCCAUGCCGCGUGUAUGAAGAAGGCCUUCGGGUUGUAAAGUACUUUCAGCGGGGAGGCGUUACCCGCAGAAGAAGCACCGGCUAACUCCGUGCCAGCCGCCGCGGUAAUUC
rnacentral:rRNA from 1 species